rnacentral:rRNA from 1 species
CACGUAGGGGGCGAGCGUUGUCCGGAUUUAUUGGGCGUAAAGAGCUCGUAGGUGGCUCGGUAAGUCGGGUGUGAAAUUUCGAGGCUCAACCUCGAAACGCCACCUGAUACUGCUGUGGCUAGAGUCCGGUAGGGGAGCGUGGAAUUCCUGGUGUAGCGGUGGAAUGCGCAGAUAUCAGGAGGAACACCGGUGGCGAAGGCAGCUCGCUGGGACGUGACUGACGCUGAGACGCGAAAGCGUGGGGAGCAAACAGG